UGGGGAAUAUUGCACAAUGGGCGCAAGCCUGAUGCAGCCAUGCCGCGUAUGUGAAGAAGGCCUUCGGGUUGUAAAGCACUUUCAGCGGGGAGGAAGGCGUUAAGGUUAAUAACCUUGGCGAUUGACGUUACCCGCAGAAGAAGCACCGGCUAACUCCGUGCCAGCAGCCGCGGUAAUACGGAGGGUGCAAGCGUUAAUCGGAAUUACUGGGCGUAAAGCGCACGCAGGCGGUCUGUCAAGUCGGAUGUGAAAUCCCCGGGCUCAACCUGGGAACUGCAUUCGAAACUGGCAGGCUAGAGUCUUGUAGAGGGGGGUAGAAUUCCAGGUGUAGCGGUGAAAUGCGUAGAGAUCUGGAGGAAUACCGGUGGCGAAGGCGGCCCCCUGGACAAAGACUGACGCUCAGGUGCGAAAGCGUGGGGAGCAAACAGG
rnacentral:rRNA from 1 species